UACGAAGGGGGCUAGCGUUGCUCGGAAUCACUGGGCGUAAAGCGCACGUAGGCGGAUUGCUAAGUCAGGGGUGAAAUCCUGGAGCUCAACUCCAGAACUGCCCUUGAUACUGGCGGUCUCGAGUCCGGGAGAGGUGAGUGGAACUGCGAGUGUAGAGGUGAAAUUCGUAGAUAUUCGCAAGAACACCAGUGGCGAAGGCGGCUCACUGGCCCGGUACUGACGCUGAGGUGCGAGAGCGUGGGGAGCGAACCGG
rnacentral:rRNA from 1 species